GACUUGAAACAAGUGAGUACUGACUUGAGUUCUUCAAUUCUUGCCUUAAGAAAGCCGAGUUUUUUUCGAUAGUGGUUUUCUCUGAAACUUAUCAUGAACAGUUGUAUAACUUAUCUUCAACAGUAAAACCAGCUAUUAUCCUGAGGUAAAUAGAUGGACUGAAGAAUGAGUACAAGUUUGAGUGAUGGAGUACGAGUUUGAGUAUUGUAGUCACUCGAAUGUUUCCAUAACUUUGAUAAGUAUUUCGCUUCCUUUUUCUGCAUGUGUUUUGGAAUUGGAUUUUAGAUUGAAGGUGGUGCUCUGUGUGUGUGAGGCUGUAAGGGGGUUAUAUUUUUUCAGCCAGACUACUUGGAUGAAGGAGCUUACGCCAUCCAAGAAGCUCACCUUUUUCAUCUGGAACAGAUUCAGAAAUUUUGUGGCUGAAGGGCUGGAUCAGAUUCGUAGACAGAUUCGUAGACGGCUUUAGUGAUGCGAGGUAAACAUGCAGAAGCAGUAGCAAAACUGUCAAAGAUAUGCCUUGUUUGACGGAUUUUCCCUCCCGAGGAGUCUUCGCCUGAGAUGGAGAUGACGGCUCGAGGCUUGGAUAAACACUUGAAAUGGAUCAGAGGGAAUUUUUUAUGAGCAUGCUUGUUGGCAUUUGCAGCGAAGAGAGCCAGAAAAAGGGCAGCAUAAGUGCUAGGUUUGGUGUGUUUGCUUCUUGGCAAAUUUUGUUAUGCUAAUUAGUAGUGGCUUGUUAUAUUAGGUUGGUUUGAACUUUGAACUAAAAAUACAAGCUUCACUGAUAUAGCAAUUAGGCAUAACAAGAUAGUGUUGGCCUUUUGAUAUUGGAUGAUAGAACCCCAUAAUCAAAUCAAGUGCCAAAUGGUGGUUUUCCUGACCAUCCCACCCUUCUCUAUCAGACCAGAAAAAGUAAAAGCCUUAUCUGGAUUUCUCUUUUUUGGAUGCAUAAACUGUAUCUGUAUGUUCUGAUAUUA